rnacentral:rRNA from 1 species
GCAGACUUGUUCUGUGACUGCGUACCUUUUGUAUAAUGGGUCAGCGACUUACUUCUCAGUAGCAAGGUUAACCAUUAGGGGAGCCGUAGGGAAACCGAGUCUUAAAUGGGCGUUUAGUUGCUGGGAGUAGACCCGAAACCGGGUGAUCUAUCCAUGGUCAGUGUGAAGGUCAGGUAAAACUGACUGGAGGCGCGAACCCACUUAUGUUGAAAAAUGAGGGGAUGAACUGUGGAUAGGGGUGAAAGGCCAAACAAACCCGGAGAUAGCUGGUUCUCUCCGAAAUCUAUUUAGGUAGAGCGUCGCGUAUUACUUCUGGGGGUAGAGCACUGUUAUGGCUAGCGGGUCGUCAAGGCUUAGUAAACCAUUGCAAACUCCGAAUACCAGAAAGUAUGAGCGCGGCAGACACACUGCGGGUGCUAACGUCCGUAGUGGAAAGGGAAACAACCCAGACCGUCAGCUAAGGUCCCAAAAUUAUAGUUAAGUGGGAAACGAUGUGAAAAGGCCCAGACAGCCAGGAGGUUGGCUUAGAAGCAGCCAUUCCUUUAAAGAGUGCGUAAUAGCUCACUGGUCGAGUCGGUUUGCGCGGAAGAUUUAACGGGGCUAAACUAUAUACCGAAGCUGCGGAUCGCAAUUUAUUGCGAUGGUAGGAGAGCGUUCUGUAAGCCGUUGAAGGUGAACUGUGAGGUUUGCUGGAGGUAUCAGAAGUGCGAAUGCUGACAUGAGUAACGAUAAAGGGGGUGAAAAACCCCCUCGCCAGAAGUCCAAGGUUUCCUACGCAACGUUAAUCGGCGUAGGGUUAGUCGGCCCCUAAGGCGAGGCAGAAAUGCGUAGUCGAUGGGAAACGGGUUAAUAUUCCCGUACUUCAUAUAACUGCGAUGGGAAGACGGAGUAGGUUAGCUCAGCAAGGCGAUGGUUGUCCUUGUUCAAGCGUGUAGAAAUGGUUCUUAGGAAAAUCCGGGAACCUCUAUUUCAAGGCGUGAUAACGAGCCCUCUUUUGGGCGAAGUGAGUGAGACCAUACUUCCAGGAAAAUCCUCUAAGCUUCAGGUUAUAUGAAACCGUACCCCAAACCGACACAGGUGGACGAGAUGAGAAUUCUAAGGCGCUUGAGAGAACUCGGGUGAAGGAACUAGGCAAAAUGACACCGUAACUUCGGGAGAAGGUGUGCUCUUGUUAUGUGAUAUCACUUGCUGAUUGAGCAAAGAAGAGCUGAAAAAACUAGGUGGCUGCGACUGUUUAUUAAAAACACAGCACUCUGCAAACACGUAAGUGGACGUAUAGGGUGUGACUCCUGCCCGGUGCUUGAAGGUUAAUUGAUGAGGUUAGCGCUUGCGCGAAGCUUUUGAUCGAAGCCCAAGUAAACGGCGGCCGUAACUAUAACGGUCCUAAGGUAGCGAAAUUCCUUGUCGGGUAAGUUCCGACCUGCACGAAUGGAGUAACGACGGCCACACUGUCUCCACCCGAGACUCAGUGAAAUUGAAAUUGCUGUUAAGAUGCAGUAUACCCGCGGCCAGACGGAAAGACCCCGUGCACCUUUACUACAGCUUUGCAUUGAACUCUGAUCCUACUUGUGUAGGAUAGGUGGGAGGCUUUGAAGCUUUAACGCUAGUUAGAGUGGAGCCACCCUUGAAAUACCACCCUGGUAUGGUUGGGGUUCUAACCUUGGUCCGUAAUCCGGAUCGGGGACAAUGCAUGGUGGGUAGUUUGACUGGGGCGGUCUCCUCCUAAAGAGUAACGGAGGAGCGCAAAGGUAUCCUCAGCACGGUCGGACAUCGUGCAAUGAGCGCAAAGGUAAAAGGAUGCUUGACUGCGAGACUGACACGUCGAGCAGGUAGGAAACUAGGUCUUAGUGAUCCGGUGGUUCUGAGUGGAAGGGCCAUCGCUCAACGGAUAAAAGGUACG